AACGAACGCUGGCGGCAGGCCUAACACAUGCAAGUCGAGCGAGGACUUCGGUCCUAGCGGCGGACGGGUGAGUAACGCGUGGGAACGUGCCCUUUGCUUCGGAAUAGCCCUGGGAAACUGGGAGUAAUACCGGGUGAGCCCUUUGGGGGAAAGAUUUAUCGGCGAAGGAUCGGCCCGCGUUGGAUUAGGUAGUUGGUGGGGUAAUGGCCUACCAAGCCGACGAUCCAUAGCUGGUUUGAGAGGAUGAUCAGCCACACUGGGACUGAGACACGGCCCAGACUCCUACGGGAGGCAGCAGUGGGGAGUCUUAGACAAUGGGGGAAACCCUGAUCUAGCCAUGCCGCGUGAGCGAUGAAGGCCUUAGGGUUGUAAAGCUCUUUCAGCUGGAAGAUAAUGACGGUACCAGCAGAAGAAGCCCCGGCUAACUCCGUG
rnacentral:rRNA from 1 species